AACGAACGCUGGCGGCAUGCCUAACACAUGCAAGUCGAACGAGACCUUCGGGUCUAGUGGCGCACGGGUGCGUAACGCGUGGGAACCUGCCCUUAGGUUCGGAAUAACUCCCCGAAAGGGGUGCUAAUACCGGAUAAUGUCUUCGGACCAAAGAUUUAUCGCCUUUGGAUGGGCCCGCGUUGGAUUAGCUAGUUGGUAGGGUAAAAGCCUACCAAGGCGACGAUCCAUAGCUGGUCUGAGAGGAUGAUCAGUCACACUGGGACUGAGACACGGCCCAGACUCCUACGGGAGGCAGCAGUGGGGAAUAUUGGACAAUGGGCGAAAGCCUGAUCCAGCAAUGCCGCGUGAGUGAUGAAGGCCUUAGGGUUGUAAAGCUCUUUUACCCGGGAUGAUAAUGACAGUACCGGGAGAAUAAGCUCCGGCUAACUCCGU
rnacentral:rRNA from 1 species